rnacentral:tRNA from 1 species
GCCGAAAUAGCUCAGCUAGAAGGGCGUUAGAGUAUAGAUCGAAAGUCCCUGGUUCGAUCCCCGGUAACGGUA